rnacentral:rRNA from 1 species
GAGCGAAGAAGGCCUUCGGGUUGUAAAGCUCAGUCACUCGGGAAGAGCGGACGAAGGAGUGGAAAGCCUUCGUCGAGACGGUACCGAGAGAGGAAGCCCCGGCUAACUACGUGCCAGCAGCCGCGGUAAUACGUAGGGGGCAAGCGUUGUCCGGAAUCACUGGGCGUAAAGCGUGCGUAGGCGGUCGCGUGUGUCUGGGGUGAAAGUCCAGGGCUCAACUCUGGGAUUGCCUUGGAAACUGCGCGACUUGAGUGCUGGAGAGGCAAGGGGAAUUCCGCGUGUAGCGGUGGAAUGCGUAGAUAUGCGGAGGAAUACCAGUGGCGAAGGCGCCUUGCUGGACAGUGACUGACGCUGAGGCACGAAAGCGUGGGGAGCAAACAGGAUUAGAUACCC